AUUGAACGCUGGCGGCAGGCCUAGCACAUGCAAGUCGAACGGUAGCACAGAGAGCUUGCUCUCGGGUGACGAGUGGCGGACGGGUGAGUAAUGUCUGGGAAACUGCCCGAUGGAGGGGGAUAACUACUGGAAACGGUAGCUAAUACCGCAUAACGUCGCAAGACCAAAGUGGGGGACCUUCGGGCCUCACACCAUCGGAUGUGCCCAGAUGGGAUUAGCUAGUAGGUGGGGUAAUGGCUCACCUAGGCGACGAUCCCUAGCUGGUCUGAGAGGAUGACCAGCCACACUGGAACUGAGACACGGUCCAGACUCCUACGGGAGGCAGCAGUGGGGAAUAUUGCACAAUGGGCGCAAGCCUGAUGCAGCCAUGCCGCGUGUAUGAAGAAGGCCUUCGGGUUGUAAAGUACUUUCAGCGGGGAGGAGGGCGGUGAAGUUAAUAACUUCACCGAUUGACGUUACCCGCAGAAGAAGCACCGGCUAACUCCGUGCCAGCCGCCGCAGUAA
rnacentral:rRNA from 1 species